rnacentral:rRNA from 1 species
GGUUAAGCGACUAAGCGUACACGGUGGAUGCCCUGGCAGUCAGAGGCGAUGAAGGACGUGCUAAUCUGCGAUAAGCGUCGGUAAGGUGAUAUGAACCGUUAUAACCGGCGAUUUCCGAAUGGGGAAACCCAGUGUGUUUCGACACACUAUCAUUAACUGAAUCCAUAGGUUAAUGAGGCGAACCGGGGGAACUGAAACAUCUAAGUACCCCGAGGAAAAGAAAUCAACCGAGAUUCCCCCAGUAGCGGCGAGCGAACGGGGAGCAGCCCAGAGCCUGAAUCAGUGUGUGUGUUAGUGGAAGCGUCUGGAAAGGCGCGCGAUACAGGGUGACAGCCCCGUACACAAAAAUGCACAUGCUGUGAGCUCGAUGAGUAGGGCGGGACACGUGGUAUCCUGUCUGAAUAUGGGGGGACCAUCCUCCAAGGCUAAAUACUCCUGACUGACCGAUAGUGAACCAGUACCGUGAGGGAAAGGCGAAAAGAACCCCGGCGAGGGGAGUGAAAAAGAACCUGAAACCGUGUACGUACAAGCAGUGGGAGCACGCUUAGGCGUGUGACUGCGUACCUUUUGUAUAAUGGGUCAGCGACUUAUAUUCUGUAGCAAGGUUAACCGAAUAGGGGAGCCGAAGGGAAACCGAGUCUUAACUGGGCGUUAAGUUGCAGGGUAUAGACCCGAAACCCGGUGAUCUAGCCAUGGGCAGGUUGAAGGUUGGGUAACACUAACUGGAGGACCGAACCGACUAAUGUUGAAAAAUUAGCGGAUGACUUGUGGCUGGGGGUGAAAGGCCAAUCAAACCGGGAGAUAGCUGGUUCUCCCCGAAAGCUAUUUAGGUAGCGCCUCGUGAAUUCAUCUCCGGGGGUAGAGCACUGUUUCGGCAAGGGGGUCAUCCCGACUUACCAACCCGAUGCAAACUGCGAAUACCGGAGAAUGUUAUCACGGGAGACACACGGCGGGUGCUAACGUCCGUCGUGAAGAGGGAAACAACCCAGACCGCCAGCUAAGGUCCCAAAGUCAUGGUUAAGUGGGAAACGAUGUGGGAAGGCCCAGACAGCCAGGAUGUUGGCUUAGAAGCAGCCAUCAUUUAAAGAAAGCGUAAUAGCUCACUGGUCGAGUCGGCCUGCGCGGAAGAUGUAACGGGGCUAAACCAUGCACCGAAGCUGCGGCAGCGACACUGUGUGUUGUUGGGUAGGGGAGCGUUCUGUAAGCCUGUGAAGGUGUACUGUGAGGUAUGCUGGAGGUAUCAGAAGUGCGAAUGCUGACAUAAGUAACGAUAAAGCGGGUGAAAAGCCCGCUCGCCGGAAGACCAAGGGUUCCUGUCCAACGUUAAUCGGGGCAGGGUGAGUCGACCCCUAAGGCGAGGCCGAAAGGCGUAGUCGAUGGGAAACAGGUUAAUAUUCCUGUACUUGGUGUUACUGCGAAGGGGGGACGGAGAAGGCUAUGUUGGCCGGGCGACGGUUGUCCCGGUUUAAGCGUGUAGGCUGGUUUUCCAGGCAAAUCCGGAAAAUCAAGGCUGAGGCGUGAUGACGAGGCACUACGGUGCUGAAGCAACAAAUGCCCUGCUUCCAGGAAAAGCCUCUAAGCAUCAGGUAACAUCAAAUCGUACCCCAAACCGACACAGGUGGUCAGGUAGAGAAUACCAAGGCGCUUGAGAGAACUCGGGUGAAGGAACUAGGCAAAAUGGUGCCGUAACUUCGGGAGAAGGCACGCUGAUAUGUAGGUGAAGCGACUUGCUCGUGGAGCUGAAAUCAGUCGAAGAUACCAGCUGGCUGCAACUGUUUAUUAAAAACACAGCACUGUGCAAACACGAAAGUGGACGUAUACGGUGUGACGCCUGCCCGGUGCCGGAAGGUUAAUUGAUGGGGUUAGCGGUAACGCGAAGCUCUUGAUCGAAGCCCCGGUAAACGGCGGCCGUAACUAUAACGGUCCUAAGGUAGCGAAAUUCCUUGUCGGGUAAGUUCCGACCUGCACGAAUGGCGUAAUGAUGGCCAGGCUGUCUCCACCCGAGACUCAGUGAAAUUGAACUCGCUGUGAAGAUGCAGUGUACCCGCGGCAAGACGGAAAGACCCCGUGAACCUUUACUAUAGCUUGACACUGAACAUUGAGCCUUGAUGUGUAGGAUAGGUGGGAGGCUUAGAAGUGUGGACGCCAGUCUGCAUGGAGCCGACCUUGAAAUACCACCCUUUAAUGUUUGAUGUUCUAACGUUGACCCGUAAUCCGGGUUGCGGACAGUGUCUGGUGGGUAGUUUGACUGGGGCGGUCUCCUCCUAAAGAGUAACGGAGGAGCACGAAGGUUGGCUAAUCCUGGUCGGACAUCAGGAGGUUAGUGCAAUGGCAUAAGCCAGCUUGACUGCGAGCGUGACGGCGCGAGCAGGUGCGAAAGCAGGUCAUAGUGAUCCGGUGGUUCUGAAUGGAAGGGCCAUCGCUCAACGGAUAAAAGGUACUCCGGGGAUAACAGGCUGAUACCGCCCAAGAGUUCAUAUCGACGGCGGUGUUUGGCACCUCGAUGUCGGCUCAUCACAUCCUGGGGCUGAAGUAGGUCCCAAGGGUAUGGCUGUUCGCCAUUUAAAGUGGUACGCGAGCUGGGUUUAGAACGUCGUGAGACAGUUCGGUCCCUAUCUGCCGUGGGCGCUGGAGAACUGAGGGGGGCUGCUCCUAGUACGAGAGGACCGGAGUGGACGCAUCACUGGUGUUCGGGUUGUCAUGCCAAUGGCACUGCCCGGUAGCUAAAUGCGGAAGAGAUAAGUGCUGAAAGCAUCUAAGCACGAAACUUGCCCCGAGAUGAGUUCUCCCUGACUCCUUGAGAGUCCUGAAGGAACGUUGAAGACGACGACGUUGAUAGGCCGGGUGUGUAAGCGCAGCGAUGCGUUGAGCUAACCGGUACUAAUGAACCGUGAGGCUUAACCUU